rnacentral:rRNA from 1 species
AUGGCCGUCUCCACCUCCACCACCACGCUCCCCCUCCUCUUCCUCCACCGCUCCACCGCAAGCCCGAACCCCACCGCGCUCUCCUUCGCCUCCCCCCUCCGCGCGUCCCCGCUGCGCUCCCGCGCCUCCGCCGCCCCGCCAGCCGAGACCCUCGCCGACGACCUACCCUCCGACACGCCCCCGGUUGGUGAGGGGUCGGGAAUUCCGAUGCCGUCGUCGAUUGGGGAGGAUGGGGAGGAGCUGGCACCUAAGCAGAAGAUCAGAAUCAAGCUGAGGUCUUACUGGGUGCCAUUGAUCGAGGACUCCUGCAAGCAGAUCAUCGAAGCUGCAAAGACAACUAAUGCCAAGACCAUGGGUCCUGUUCCUCUGCCAACCAAGAAGAGAAUAUACUGUGUGCUCAACUCUCCCCAUGUGCACAAAGAUUCAAGGUUCCACUUCGAGAUCCGGACACACCAGCGGUUGAUUGAUAUCAUGUACCCGACUGCCCAGACAAUCGAUUCAUUGAUGCAGCUCCAGCUCCCCGCCGGGGUGGAUGUUGAGGUUAAGCUAUGA